GGGCUUGUACUGGUUUCGACGGGGGUCAUGCAGCUGGUGAAGCUAUCCGCAUGCGAUGCGUCAAAUGGCAAAAUUAAAAUUAAACGCUGAAGAUAAUUUAGCAUACGCAGCCUAAUGGCUGCUGUCAGACUUAGCGCACUCACACGUUAAGAACCUGGCAUCGACUAUGUGAGAAACGACAUGCGUUAAGCUUUGCGCGCAUGGGCGUAUGAUGAAGCUACUGAAACCGCGAGAGUGUCUGUUCCCGCGCGGCAGAGGGAAUGUCAAACAACAGACUAUGAUAGUAGAAGAACAGGGAAUUGGUUUUCGGACAGGGGUUCGAUUCCCCUCAG
rnacentral:tmRNA from 1 species